rnacentral:Y_RNA from 1 species
GGUGGGUCCGAAGGUAGUGAGUUAUCUCACUUGAUUGUCCACAGUCAGUUAUAGGUUGAACUACUUGUUCUACUACUUUACCCCCUUCUCGCUACUGCACUUGAGUAGUCUUAA